UGGUCAUUACCAAGGCUUUUAGAAUGUAGUUUCUCAUUUGCCGUGGACAUGACCACAAAACAUUUCCCCAAUGGGUUUUUUUCUGCUAUGUUGGUACCAUAGCAUUCAGCCUAUUGGGAACAUUU